GCGGGAAGGACCUCGUGCCCGGAGAGCGUGAGUGGGCUGGCAAGACGCAGUGUCUGAAUCGGGGCAACUUGUUCUUCCGGAACCGCAGCAGCACGACAGGCUCUUCGCGCUGAGCACCCCCCGGCUCAUAGACCAAUAUAGCAUGGAAAACUUCCGAGGCUGGCUGGCAACGGCGCAUCGGCUGCUGCCCGCAGGUAGGGACAGCCACCGCGUUGCUCGGUGCUUCUGCCGAACAGCUGGAGCAGCCGGAGGAGCCGGAGCAUUUCUGAUGAUGGAAAAUCCCUCCCUGCAAAGCAGUGCAGAUCACCUUGCCCCGGUUCAUGCUCUUUUCUGGAAUAAUCCCUCGUGGUGCUUCCAAACAGCCCCCGGCGACGAGCUCCGUGGGCAGGGGCUGCCUCCCACAGCCAGCAUGUGUUCACCAGGCAACUGAGGAGUGACCACUGCUCGUGUUAAUUCCAAUCAAUUUGGAAACAUCUGUCUAAGAAAAAUCAUCUCCGGUCCCUAGCAGAAGCGAUCUCUUCC